GACUGAGAGAGGGAGGGGGAGACAGAGGGAGGGAUGGAUCUAGUCUCUUUGUCUCUGCUCACACCAGGAAACAGAAAGGGAGGAGGCCUCACCAACCAGGAAAUGACCCGGCUGCUCUGAGGCGGCAGGCCUCAGGCUGGCAGGCUGAUUACUCACAGGAAACAGGAAGUGGAGGCAAGUUGUGAAAGAAACCUGCAACAAGAUUGUGUGUCAGGGAGGCUGAGGCCAGGUGUGAGUCUGUAAGCGGUGUAAAGGCUGCGUCUGCUCUUCCUCCAGAAACAUCUCAGUGUUCACAACCUCCUCUGGCAGGAAGUCACCCUGUCAUGUGAUUCUCACAGGCCAGAACUUGUCAUGUGACUCACAGGCCAGGACCUGUCAUGUGACUCUCACAGUCCAGGACUUGCUGAGGCUGUAAAUACAGCCGUGAAAUACUCUGAAACUAUGCUUUGAAAGUUUAACGAUGAGAUAAAUUAUGAUUUUUGGGGGAUUCCCAAGGGAGAUGCUAAUCAUUGAGGUAAAAUUAUUAAAGCAAAAAGCAAAAGUUUGAUAACUUAAUUGGACUUAAUAACUAAAUAAGUUAUUUUCCCUUUUGUGUGUAUUAAGAUGUUUUUUUUUGUAGUGGGUAUAUAACGUUCUUGUUAGUUUUCAAGAGGAAUUCAAACAUACACUGGUAUUACCCUGCUGUGAAUCAGACAAACAUUGUUCAGUAAUCAUUGACUUAUUUAUAUUUAAUUUAUGAGACUAUUGAAUGCGUCUUGCGUUAGCUGGGCCCUCUGCCGACGGCCCUCUGCCGACGGCCCUCUGCCGACGGCCCUCUGCCGACGGCCCUCUGCCGACGGCCCUCUGCCGACGGCCCUCUGCCGACGGCCCUCUGCCGACGGCCCUCUGCCGACGGCCCUCUGCCGACGGCCCUCUGCUGACGCUCCCCUCUGACACCAGCACUGUGACUGGGAGUGUGUAGAGCAGAUUGUGUGUGUGUGUGUGUAGAGCGGGUGAUGUGUGUCUGUGUAGAGCGCCUGGUGUCACUGUAGAGCAGCUGGUGUCUCUGUAGAGCAGCUGGUGUGUGUCUGUGUAGAGCAGCUGGUGUGUGUCUGUGUAGAGCGCCUGGUGUCACUGUAGAGCGGGUCCAUCUAACCACCACUGCCAAGUUUGCCUGCUGUUUCCCUUGUUUGGCUCAAUGGCUGAAUAGAAGAGUAUUGAUUUGAGUAUUGAUCCUGAAGACCAUGUCAUGGUUGCACUGCUGACUCUGCCAUGCUAGCUAGCUCUGUCAUGGCACUGCCAACUCUGCCAUGCUAGAUAGCUUUGUCAUGGUGUCACUGCCAACUCUGCCAUGCUAGCUAGCUCUGUCAUGGCGUCACUGCCAACUCUGCCAUGCUAGCUAGCUCUGUCAUAUUGGCACUGCCAACACUGCCAUGCUAGCUAGCUCUGUCAUGGUGGCACUGCCAACUCUGCCAUGCUAGCUAGCUCUGUCAUAUUGGCACUGCCAACUCUGCCAUGCUAGCUAGCUCUGUCAUGGUGUCACUGCCAACUCUGCCAUGCUAGCUAGCUCUGUCAUAUUGGCACUGCCAACACUGCCAUGCUAGCUAGCUCUGUCAUAUUGGCAUUGCCAACUCUGCCAUGCUAGCUAGCUCUGUCAUAUUGGCAUUGCCAACUCUGCCAUGCUAGCUAGCUCUGUCAUAUUGGCAUUGCCAACUCUGCCAUGCUAGCUAGCUCUGUCAUAUUGGCAUUGCCAACUCUGCCCUGCUAGCUAGCUCUGUCAUGGCACUGCCAACUCUGCCAUGCUAGAUAGCUUUGUCAUGGUGUCACUGCCAACUCUGCCAUGCUAGCUAGCUCUGUCAUGGCGUCAAUGACAACUCUGCCAUGCUAGCUAGCUCUGUCAUAUUGGCACUGCCAACUCUGCCAUGCUAGCUAGCUCUGUCAUGGUGGCACUGCCAACACUGCCAUGCUAGCUAGCUCUGUCAUAUUGGCACUGCCAACUCUGCCAUGCUAGCUAGCUCUGUCAUGGUGGCACUGCCAACUCUGCCCUGCUAGCUAGCUCUGUCAUGGUGGCACUGCCAACACUGCUGCGCAUGUGUGGGCUACAUACAUCUGUCUCCAUGGUGACAGAUGAAACGUGGAUGGCGGGGGUCUGGGACUUCCCCCUGCCCCUGGUAACCCUGGUAACAGCUAGCUGCCCCCACCCACACACAUACACAGCACCCAGUGAUCCUUUGUUUAAAAACUGUCCUUGAAGAUUUAUUCAUUAUGCGAUUUUCCCCCAAAAUACUUUUUUUCUCUUUAAUUCUUAUGGUUAUAAAGAGCAUUUUGUUGCAUUUGACUAACUGAAGCUUCCAGCCCAGUAUGUAUCCACGUCAGCUGUCUGCUCUCUGGCAGACACACCUUUUGGGUUUUGUAUGCUAACCUUUGUUGAUAAAAUGUUUAUAAAGUUUAUUUUCGCCAAAGAUAUGCAAUUGCAUUAUAUAUGGUAUUACAAAAUAAAAAUGUCUUGUUUUA